rnacentral:rRNA from 1 species
GAUGAACGCUAGCGGCAGGCCUAAUACAUGCAAGUCGGACGGGAUUCAGGAGCUUGCUUCUGAUGAGAGUGGCGCACGGGUGCGUAACACGUAUGUAACCUACCUUUAUCAGGGGGAUAGCCUCUCGAAAGAGAGAUUAAGCCCGCAUAAAAUCACAGCACAGCAUUGUGUAAUGAUCAAAAAUUUAUAGGAUAAAGAUGGGCAUGCGGAACAUUAGCUAGAUGGCGGGGUAACGGCCCACCAUGGCGACGAUGUUUAGGGGAUCUGAGAGGAUGGCCCCCCACACUGGUACUGAGACACGGACCAGACUCCUACGGGAGGCAGCAGUAAGGAAGAUUGGUCAAUGGGCGGAAGCCUGAACCAGCCAUGCCGCGUGCAGGAAGACGGCCCUACGGGUUGUAAACUGCUUUUAUACGGGAAUAAACCCAGAUACGUGUAUCUGGCUGAAUGUACUGUAAGAAUAAGGAUCGGCUAACUCCGUG